ACAGCAAGUAACAAAAAGGGCCCUGGUGAUAAAAUUGCAGGUGGUAUAAGUAAAAGGAAAGAAAGGGAAGAUACAUGUUGUAAAGCGUUUUGAGCGUGAUGAGAGAACAUGUGACAUUGCUCGUGCAACAGGAAUGAAGGAGUCUACGUUACACACCAUUAGAGACAAUGCAGGAAAGAUUAAAGCAAGCUGUAUUGCUGGAACAAGUCUGAGUGCUAGCAAAUUGUGAGGUUGUGGACAAAGGAACUUGAGGAGAUGGAGUGGUUUCUAAGUGUGUGGAUAGAAGAACAAACAACAAAGUGGUCUCAGGCCACCUUUCUCACUAUAAAAGAGAAAGCCUUAUCAUUGAAGAUCUAACAAAACAAGCCAAAAAUCCUGCAGAUGCAUCUGCCUUUAGUGAUAACAGAGGCUGGUUUGCCGGUUUUAAGAACCACUGUGCUUUUCAUAAUGUAAAGUUAUGUGGUGAAGCUGCACAUUGACGAAGCAGGCUACAACUUAGAUCAAAUUUUCAAUUUGGAUGAGACAGUUUAUGCUGGAGCCAAAUGCCAUCAAGAACCAAGAAACAGUCAGAAGACAAUGAACCACAGCAAUCCACUUCUAGGUUAACUAUAUUUUGCCUGAAACCUGCAAACAUGAUUUCAAAUCAAACAUUUACGUGGCCAAUCCAAAGGUGAAGGAAGCUGAACAGCUUGUGGAGUGAAAAAAAUGGUCAGAUGCCUUUGGACCACUGGAAGUGCAGAACCAUCUACAAGAUGCACCGCAGAAAUUCAUCAAAGUCACUUUGUGAACACCUUCCAAGCACUUGAACACUACCAUCAAGAAGGACAAGGAAACAGCAGAUAUCACAAAGACAUUCUUCAUCCUGACAGGAAUUAUAUUAUUGUAUUUUUUUCUACUCAUUUGUGGGAUGUGGACUGGCCAGCAUUUCUUGCCCAUCUCUAUUUGCCCUUGAGAAGGUGGUGGUGUGCUGCCUUCUUGAACCGCUGCAGU